rnacentral:tRNA from 1 species
GGCUUCGUGGUGUAACGGUAGCACACUCAACCCGUAUUUGAGAGGUCCAGGUUCGAGUCCUGGAGAAGGCA